rnacentral:rRNA from 1 species
GAGAUUCCUGACGCUGUUAGGUGGAUGACUUGGCUUAGAAUAAUGAUGAAGGGCGUGGCAAGCUACGAAAUGCUUCGGCGAGCCGCAUGCAGGCUUUGAACCGAAGGUACCCGAAUAGGACAUCCUUUAAAGUCUUAAUAGGACAAAGAACGCAGGGGAACGAAGCGUCCAAGUACCUGCAGGAAAAGAAAUCAAUGAGAUGCCACUAGUAAGGGCGACUGAAAAUGGUAUAAGGCAAACUGAAUCCUUCAUAGUAAUAUGAUGGAGAUGUGGUGUUACAGACUGCCUUUCGACCCGACCCUGGAGACUCAAACUCCACUGGAAUGUGGGGCCUUAGAGGGUGAAAGCCCCGUAGAGGUAACCAGGAGGGUUUGGCAGUAUCUUGAGUACUGCUUCCCGGAAACGAAGCAGGAAUAUGGGACUCAUCAAGUUCCAACCUUAAACACAUUCUAAGACCGAUAGAGUAUAGUACCGUGAGGGAACGUUUAAAAGUACCCUUAAUAGGGAGUGAAAAGAACCUGAAACCUAACAGUAAUAAGUAGAUAGGGCACUAAGGUGUUCUAUCAUCCGUUUCGAAUAACGUGCCAGGGAGUGCAUCUGAGUGGCAAGAUUAAUUCUUUUUGAAGUAAUCAUAGGGAAACCAAAUGCCCGCAGUUUACGAGGGGCGAGGUACUAAUCUGCCUUUAGUCACUUGGAUGCGACCCGAAACCGCUUGAUCUUACCCUGGGUAGGGUGAAGCAAAGGUAAUACUUUGUGGAGGCCCGCAGAGGUGCUGUCAGCAAAAUGUUCUUUUAACCUGGGGUAAGGGGUGAAAAGCCAAUCGAAAGCGGUGAUAGCUGGUUCCUACCGAAGUUGGCCGCAGUCAAGUCUCAACGGAGAUAAUAGAAAAGGUAGAGAUACGGAUAGGGAGUUUAGGCCGGGAAACUGGUCGGUUCUCUGUCCAACUCCGAAUUUUUCUAUAUCGUAGAUGUUGGGAAACGGGGGUCCGGGGUAAGCUUGGAUUCCGAGAGGGGAACAACCCAGACCAUGGUUAAGGCCCCUAAAUGCUAAUUAAGUGUUAAAGGGUUAAAAGUGUCUAUAGUCAAAGACAGCGAGGAGGUUGGCUUAGAAGCAGCCAUCCUAUAAUAAGUGCGUAACAGCUUACUUGUCAAGACUAUUGGUCUUGAAAAUGGACGGGGCUAAAUUAGCUGCCGAUACCAUGGGCCAUCGUAAGAUGUGCGGUAGGUAGGCGUUUUGCUAGAGUAGAAGUGUCUCCACGAGGAGGCAUGGAUCUGGCUGAAAUGAGAAUCCUGGUGGUAGUAGGAUCAUAGCAGUGUGAGAAUCACUGCCGCUGAAAGGGCAAGGGUUCCUUGACAAUGCAGUUCAGUCAAGGGUAAGUUAAUCCUAACCAAGCUCCUAACUGGAGUAAUGGGAAUGGGAAAAAGGUUAAUAUUCCUUUACUAUCUGAGUAUGUGCGGCGACGCAAGCUUUUUUCCUGACGGUUUAGGCUAAAUCAACGAGAAUUCUCGUUUUCGUUAAUAAGGAUAAGUCAAUAGAGUAUCGUAAUGAUGAGAAAUUGAGUAAACCUUAGAAUAGUGGGUUGUAUAAUCCAUUUGGUUGAGGCCUUGAUCCCUUGAAAAGGGAAAAUAGAAAAAUCUUAGAUAAUUAUACCCAGAACCAACACAGGUGCCCCUAGGUGAGUAGCCUAAAGUGUGAUGGACUAAUGUAAUUGAGGGAAUUCGGCAAUCUAGCCCUGUGCCUUCGGUAUAAGGGGUCCCUGUGUUUGUAACCGUAUGGUUGCGAUCGCAGGGUGCAAUAACUAGGGAGGUCCGACUGUUUAACAAAAACUUAACCCCCUGCCAGCCCGUAAGGGUGUGUACAGAGGGUGACGUCUGCCCAGUGCCAGUAAUUUAAACCCGGGUUCAACCGGGCUAAGAUCUGGUAAACGGCGGGAGUAACUAUAACUCUCUUAAGGUAGCGUAAUACCUUGCCGUUUGAUUGACGGCUUGCAUGAAUGGCGUAACGAGAUCUCCGUUGUCCCCAAUUACAAUCCACCGAACACUCUUUCCCGGUGCAGAAGUCGGGAAUCUCCAGUGGGAUGUGAAGACCCCAUGGAACUUUACUGUAGCUUGUGACUGCGAUGUGAAUUAGGUUGUACAGCGUAAGUGGGAGUUGUUAAGUUACGGACGCCAGUCCGUGAAUAGACGACAAUGAAACACCACUCUUCUGAAUUUACAUCGCUUACUAAAAUUAACUUUUUAGGACACUUACAGGUGGACAGUUUCGCUGGGGCGGCAGCCCGCUGAAAUGAUAUCAGCGGGGCCCAAUGGUUGACUCAUCCGGGUCAGAAAUCCGGAGUAGAGCGUAAGGGCAAAUGUCAGCCUGACAGGAUUUCUAACAAGGGGAAAUCCUGCAAAGAAAUUUCGGCCUAACGAUCUCCUAUGCCUUUUUGAUGAGGGCUAGGAUUGUCCGAAAAGCUAUCCUGGGGAUAAUAGAGUCGUCGCGCCCGAGCGUUCACAGCGACGGCGCGGCUUGCUUCGUCGAUGUCGGCUCUUCCUAUCCUGGGCGUGCAGAAGCGCCCAAGGGUGGGGGUGUUCACCCAUUAAAAGGGAUCGUGAGCUGGGUUCAGAACGUUGUGAGACAGUUUGUUUAUUAUCUACUGGAGAUGUUCAAUGUCUGAGAGGAAGGAUUUUCUAGUACGAAAGGAACGAAAGUUCGAUGCCACUGGUCGAUCGGUUAUCCGGGAGGGUAUGCCGAGCAGCUACGCAUUAAAAGAUAAGCGCUGAAAGCAUCUAAGCACGAAACUUGCCUCAAAAAGAGACAUUAGAAGCGCGAGUAAAACACUCGGUUGAUGGGAUCGGUGUAUAAGCAUCAAGCUUAAGCGAGAUGUUAAGCAUGCGAUUACCAAUAGCUUCAAAAGGACUUAA